GGAUUGAGAACAACGUACAACUCUUAUCGAUAAGCCAUUGGAGGGCAAGUCUGGUGCCAGCAGCCGCGGUAAUUCCAGCUCCAAUAGCGUAUAUUAACGUUGUUGCAGUUAAAAAGCUCGUAGUUGAAGUGAGGGAGUGUGUGUUCAUGAGAGCUAGUCUCGAGUGUUCACAACCUCCCCCCUCCAAUCGGUGUAGUGGGGUAUUCAGUUAUUCCACUACUCCUUUGGUCGUUUACUGUGAGAAAAUUAGAGUGUUCAAAGCGGGCGUUUGUUUGAAUAGAUUAGCAUGGAAUAAUGAUUGAAGGCUUUCGUGUUCGAUUUGAUUGGUUUGUUCAUGGAAGCAAGGUUAAAAGGAACAGUUGGGGGUAUUCAUAUUCACUAGUUAGAGGUGAAAUUCUCGGAUUUAUGGAAGAUGAACAAGUGCGAAAGCA
rnacentral:rRNA from 1 species